GGGCGUUGGAUGAUUGAUUGGAGUUGUUCCUAGUACGAGAGGACCGGAAUGAACGAACCGCUGGUGUUCGGGUUGUCAUGCCAAUGGCACUGCCCGGUAGCUACGUUCGGAACGGAUAACCGCUGAAAGCAUCUAAGCGGGAAGCCGGCCAAGAGAUGAGUCAUCCCUUGUACCUUGAGUACACAUAAGGGUCGUUGGAGACCACAACGUUGAUAGGUGAGGUGUGGAAGCGUGGUGACACGUUAAGCUAACUC
rnacentral:rRNA from 1 species